rnacentral:rRNA from 1 species
UAAUACGGAGGGUGCAAGCGUUAAUCGGAAUUACUGGGCGUAAAGGGUGCGCAGGUGGCCCGAUAAGUCAGAUGUGAAAGCCCUGGGCUUAACCUGGGAACUGCAUUUGAAACUGUUGGGCUAGAGUAUGGUAGAGGGAAGUGGAAUUCCGGGUGUAGCGGUGAAAUGCGUAGAUAUCCGGAGGAACACCAGUGGCGAAGGCGACUUCCUGGACCAAUACUGACACUGAGGCACGAAAGCGUGGGUAGCAAACAGGAUUAGAUACCCUGGUAGUCCACGCUGUAAACGAUGUCAACUAGCCGUUGGGAACAUCUAGUUCUUAGUGGCGCAGCUAACGCGAUAAGUUGACCGCCUGGGGAGUACGGCCGCAAGGUUA